rnacentral:lncRNA from 1 species
CCCCUUUUCCCCACCCUUGGCCGCCCCUCCCCCUUCCCCUUGCAGCCACCCUCCACUACUUACUCCUCCCUCUAGAUCUCCCCCCCACGCAGCAAGGAUCGAGAAGAGGAGGAGCAAGAUGGAUUGAAGAGGAAGAGAGGAUCAAGGAGAUGUUCUACCCCCAUCUCUUGCAGAUUUUCUUGGGGAAACCCUAGGUAAGGAUAGGAUCCUUGUUCCUCCCUAUAAUUAUAUGCUUUUGGAGGUUGUGGAUCAUGUGGAUUGAAGGAUUAGAGGUUGGAUUAGAUGUGGGGUUAGGUUUUGAUCUCGAAUUUAAUUUCUGCAGAAUAACAGAUUCAACAGUUUCUGUUCAUGCCAGUUUUCCGUGGUCUUAGUGGCCUCAAAAAAAUAAAAAGUCUAUAUAUGAGUCGUAGAUAAUUUGUAGAUCUUUCCGUAGCCGCGAAGAACACCUCAAUCGGACAUCAGAACAGAAAGUUAUGGCAGUUUGAUUAUAGCAGUUUUUCAGUCUCAUAAUUCUGUGCAGAAUCUGUUCUCUUAAGAGUUAGGCAAUUUUAUCAACAGAAUUAAACUGUGAGUUGGUAAAAGAAGUUGUAGAUAAUUUCAUAAGCUUUCCAGAUUGUUAAAGAGUGCAUUCAUAUGAUUUGUGAAACUCCAGUUAUGUUUGUUUUACUGUGGCUGUUUCUGUUUACCUGACAAAAGUGAGUGGGUCUGUUCACUGGUGAGUUUCAUCUAGUAAAUGGCCGAAUUGGCUCUUCCAACUAUGGAGACUUUUGUAGAGGGAUAAAAGUUCUUACUUCCAGCAGAAUUUCAUAAUUUUUGGUUCAGUAGUUUGGGAGAUAUCGAAUUUUAAAGUUAAUCAUACUGCUGUCUAAAACAGAUUCAGUCAGUUAUCUUGUCAGAUGUUUUAGAACUUGUAGAUGGCAGAAUUUAAUUAUCCAUUGAAUACUGAAGUUGUAGAGUAUUUUGUGUAGAUACUCCAAGAGUAUUUGUUUGAUAUCACCGCUGUUUUAAUUUUAAAGAUACAAAAUUAACAAACAGCGCUGCUGCUGUAUGGCAUGUGGUUCAGGGUGGGAGUCUUUCCACUGGGUCUUGGUUUGUAGGAGUGUUUUGUUGAUUGAUGGCAAAUGUUUGUGAAAUAUUUAUACUAAGUUUUAUGCCCGCUAGCAGGUGGCUAUACUCCAGAUCAUGUCUAGUACAUUUCUUCUUCUUCGAUGAAGGCAAGUGAAUGUAACGGUGGUUGCUUCCGUUCUAACCUUUUAUUUCUAUUGCCUACACUCUAAUAUUCAGAAGUAUUGGAUUCUUUCAUAAUUGGACUCUAUGGUGAUGCUUUACUUGCUUGCAUUAUACUGAUGCUCAAUCAUAUAUUGAUGAUGAUUAUGAUUCGAGUAUGAUUCAUGAGAUUAAUUCACACCCCUGAAGGUAAAUGAAGUAUUAUUUGAGGUUGGUAUUGUAUCUGAAGGUAAAUGAAGUAUUAUUUGAGGUUGGUAUUGUAUCUGAAGGUAAAUAAAAUAUUAUUUGAGGUUUGUAUUGUAUCGGAAGGAAGUGAAGGUUAUUGAUAAAUGCAGCAUGCCAUAUACAUUGCAUGACUCAUUUGCAUCUGAAGUUUUGUCGUGACCUAUGGUCCGACCGUACCGGUACAAUUUAGCAUCGUACGUUGCCCGAGGAGGGGUACGAUGCGGCUUCAUACCCUUAGAGGUAUGAAGACAGAGGACAUAUGCAUUGCAUUCAUAUGCAUUCAUUGAAGUGAUAUUUGCAGAUGAUGUGGUUUUAUACUCUCAGAGGUAUGAAGAUAGAGUACCUACACAUUGCAUUCCUAUGCAUACAUUGAAGUGAUAUUUGCAGGUAUUAUUGACGCACGGAAGUGUUAUAGAACCUAUUGUGGUUGUUCGAGGAAAUGAGAUGGUAUUGGUUAUAGUGGGACUACUGAGUUCCAUAUCUACAAGUAUUUCUGAUUUUAAUUGUGACUCUUUUAAAAUGUUGAUGAAUUCAAUUUGUGGUUUAAAGAUCUUGUCAAAAUUAUUCGCUUGCUGAGAUGUUUCAUCUCACUCUUGCAUUACUCAAUGCAGGUGCUUGUUGCUCAUCAAGGGAAGUGGGAAGUAGCAGCACAUCCACCUUCACUCUUAUAAUAACACUGCUUAGGCGCAGUCAUGAUUUAAUUAGAAGCUUCUUGUCAAAGGACGUUUGUUUCUAACUAGUUGUGCGCACUGGAUAAUUUAGCUCAUGUCGUUAUGGUUGUCUUCCCAUUGCUAGCAGACUAUUAAUGUCUAUUAUGUUUUCUUAUCAUGAUAUCUAUUUAUACUUUGUUGCUUCCCCGUU